CAUACCUAUUCGAAGGGAUAGGGUCGGUUUGGCCGGAUUUCACACAGGUGUUGCAUGGCUGUCGUCAGCUCGUGUCGUGAGAUGUUGGGUUAAGUCCCGCAACGAGCGCAACCCUCAUCCCUAGUUACCAUCAGGUUAUGCUGGGGACUUUAAGGAAACUGCCAGUGAUAAACUGGAGGAAGGUGGGGAUGAUGUCAAGUCAUCAUGGCCCUUAUGGAGUGGGCUACACACGUGCUACAAUGGUGAUUACAAUGGGCUGCAAGGUCGCAAGGCUGAGCUAAUCCUAAAAAAUCAUCUCAGUUCGGAUUGUUCUCUGCAACUCGAGAGCAUGAAGUUGGAAUCGCUAGUAAUCGUGGAUCAGCAUGCCACGGUGAAUACGUUCUCGGGUCUUGUACACACUGCCCGUCACGCCAUGGGAAUUGGUUUCACUCGAAGCU
rnacentral:rRNA from 1 species